AAUCUAGAAAAAAGAUAUCAAAGGUGUGUCCCCAUGGAUAUUUUUCCGAUUUGUAUUCAUCGUUGUUGAAUUCCCAUAUUUUUGCUUCAUGCACAAAUAUAAUGUCAUGUAACAGUUGAUGCAUUUUAAAUGGUGAUUUUGAAAAUACUUUUGGUACAGGUUUCCUUUUAAUUGUGAUUCAUGAAUAAACAAAAUAGAAUGUAAUCUGUCCUUUGAGGGUUCAAAUUUUGACUUUUUCAGUGCUUUCAUGUGAUGGUCAUGGUGUUGGUUUAAUAUUCUAUGCGUCAUUUAUAAAAACAUGUUUAUAAAUCCAAUUUUUGCAUUAUAGCCCAUAGAUUAUGAAUUAUCUGUAAAAUGCUCCCUGUUUCAUUUAAAAAUUAGUUUGUUGAUCAUUAUACCAACUAAGGUUACACCAUAAUUAUAAUAAGUUUAUAUAUUUUACUGUUAUAGUAACAUAUGUUUUAUUUGUUUUUUCCACAGUUAUAUUUGUUAAAAUUUAUAAAGUUUUGAAUAAACACUAUUUAGAAUACAUGUACACAACAAAUGUAUUUUUUACACAUACACGUAUGUAUAUACAAUUUUAAAAUAGUUAAUAGGAAGCUCAAGCUUUUAAGAAAGAUAUAUUGUUCUACAAAAUACAAUGUAGUGGGAAUUUCUUUUAAAUUAGUAUGGUUGUAACUUCUAAUGAUACAUGUAUCUUGUUGAAAUAAGAUUUCUUUGUUUAUGAAAUAAAAAUGUUUUUUGUUAACGA
rnacentral:misc_RNA from 1 species